GCCGAUGUAGCUCAGCGGUAGAGCGGCGCACUCGUAAUGCGUAGGUCGAGGGUUCAAUUCCCUCCGUCGGCUCCA
rnacentral:tRNA from 1 species